rnacentral:rRNA from 1 species
CUGAAUUUCCGCGGGGGCGUCAAAGCUUACCAAAGAAUAUCAAACUCCGAAUGCCAUGUAGAUGAUGAACGGGAGUCAGACUGCACGAGAUAAGUUGGGCGGUCAAAAGGGAAAGAGCCCAGACCACCGGCUAAGGUCCCAAAGUGUGUGUUAAGUGGAAAAGGAUGUGGGAAUUCGAAGACAACUAGGAUGUUGGCUUAGAAGCAGCCACUCAUUAAAAGAGUGCGUAAUAGCUCACUAGUCGAGAGGACUUGCGCCGAAAAUACACGGGGCUAAAACACACCACCGAAGCUAUGGAACGGAAACGUUGGUAGGGGAGCAUUGUGUGAGGACGAAGCGUAAGCGUAAGCGAGCGUGGACGAAACAGAAGAGAGAAUGCCGGAAUGAGUAGCGAGAUAGAAGUGAGAAUCUUCUAGGCCGAAAAUCUAAGGGAUCCAGAGUAAAGCUGAUCUGCUCUGGGGAAGUCGGGGCCUAAGGCGAGGCUGAGAAGCGUAGUCGAUGGAUAACAGGUUGAUAUUCCUGUACCGUAAGUAAACAGAACUGUGGGGACACAGGAGGAUAGUAAGAGCCGGGAAUGGAAAGACCGGUAGAAGCACAAAGGUACCUGGAUAGGCAAAUCCGUCUGGGUGAACUGAAGUGUGAUCUGGACUGAAAUAAAGUAAGGAAGCUUAUGAAUCCAAACUGUCAAGAAAAGCCGCUAUUGUUUUACUUACGCCCGUACCGCAAACCGACACAGGUAGAUGAGGAGAGAAUCCACAGGCCGGCGGGAGAAGCGUUGUUAAGGAACUAGGCAAAAUGACCCCGUAACUUCGGGAGAAGGGGUGCCUCGAAAGAGGCCGCAGAGAAGAGGCCCAAGCGACUGUUUAACAAAAACACAGGUUUCUGCGAAACCGCAAGGUGAAGUAUAGGAGCUGACGCCUGCCCGGUGCUGGAAGGUUAAGGGGAGGACUUAGAGCAAUCGAAGGUUCGAACUUAAGCCCCAGUAAACGGCGGCCGUAACUAUAACGGUCCUAAGGUAGCGAAAUUCCUUGUCGGGUAAGUUCCGACCCGCACGAAAGGCGUAACGAUCUGGGAACUGUCUCAACAAUAGACUCGGUGAAAUUGUAGUACCGGUAAAGAUGCCGGUUACCCGCAGCAGGACGGAAAGACCCCAUGGAGCUUUACUGUAGCUUGAUAUUGAGUUUCGGCGUUGCAUGUACAGGAUAGGUGGGAGAC